rnacentral:ncRNA from 1 species
AACGAUUUCGGGGGCCUCGGUACAGGCAGGCUGGGGAAACCCCACUUUUACACAAGGCGCGCCGCCGCGGCCCGAUGCGGUGGAAGGCGUGAACGGUUCGGGGGUCCUGGUACAGGCAGGCCGGGGAAACCCCCUUUUUACACCGGAGGUUCGCGAUGCGGCCUCCGUCCCUUUCGGGGCCCUCGGUUCAGGCAGGCCGGGGAAUCCCCUUCUUUCUUCCC